rnacentral:rRNA from 1 species
AUGAUCACGACCAAGCUUCAAGUCGAGGAACGGUUAGAAGGUAGAGGAGGUUCGUCGGACACGAGCAGGGAGGAGAGCGCCUGGUCCUCCCUUUGGAAAAUAAAGGUGCCAUCAAAGGUAAAAAUAUUUUUCUGGAGGCUCGCGAGGCAUUCGCUGCCGACCAAAGAUGUACUCAAGAGGAGAAACAUGUCACUGGCCGAUGCGUGUCCAUUGUGUGGGACAGAGGACUCGUGGAGGCAUGCUUGCAUUAGCUGCGCCAUGGCUCGAUGCAUGUGGACUCUAUCGGACGACGAAUUGGUGGAAACAAUGAUGGAAAACCGACAGCCAUCUGCAAAGCACUGGAUGUUCAACUUGCAUGAACAACUUAGUCAUGCGCAGUUCACUGAGAUGGUUAUAACGAUGUGGGCGAUAUGGUAUACGAGAAGGAAGCCGGUGCAUGAAUCGAUCUUCCAAAGCCCUCAACAAACAAAUGCAUUUGUUCUUUCUUAUUUGCAUGAUUUGUCAGUGUGUGAGUUUGAUGCAAGCGCGAGUAAAGGAGGAAGGGAACAACGCAAUACGAUGCAGCGAUCGCUACCUCCUCCUUUUAAUAAAGCUAAAUGCUGA